rnacentral:rRNA from 1 species
GUCAACCGAGGAAGUGCUUCGAAAACUGGCAAACUUGAGUGCAGAAAAGGAAAGUGGAACUCCAUGUGUAGCGGUGGAAUGCGUAGAUAUAUGGAAAAACACCAGUGGCGAAGGCGGCUUUCUGGUCUGUAACUGACGCUGAGAUUCGAAAGCAUGGGUAGCAAACAGGAUUAGAUACCCUGGUAGUCCAUGCCGUAAACGAUGAGUGCUAAGUGUUGGAGGGUUUCCGCCCUUCAGUGCUGCAGCUAACGCAUUAAGCACUCCGCCUGGGGAGUACGAUCGCAAGAUUGAAACUCAAAGGAAUUGACGGGGGCCCGCACAAGCGGUGGAGCAUGUGGUUUAAUUCGAAGCAACGCGAAGAACCUUACCAGGUCUUGACAUACCAUGAAAAGCUCAGAGAUGAGUCUUUCCCUUCGGGGACAUGGAUACAGGUGGUGCAUGGUUGUCGUCAGCUCGUGUCGUGAGAUGUUGGGUUAAGUCCCGCAACGAGCGCAACCCUUAUUAUCAGUUGCCAGCAUUCAGUUGGGCACUCUGGUGAGACUGCCGGUGAUAAACCGGAGGAAGGUGGGGACGACGUCAAAUCAUCAUGCCCCUUAUGACCUGGGCUACACACGUGCUACAAUGGUCGGUACAACG